rnacentral:tRNA from 2 species
AAUUUGGUGGUAAAUACGCUGGAUUCAAAACCCAGUUCUUACGAGUGCGGGUUCGAUUCCCGCCCGGGGUA